AGGGCACCACCAGGAGUGGAGCCUGCGGCUUAAUUUGACUCAACACGGGAAAACUCACCCGGCCCGGACACCGUAAGGAUUGACAGACUGAGAGCUCUUUCUUAAUUCGGUGGGUGGUGGUGCAUGGCCGUUCUUAGUUGGUGGAGCGAUUUGUCUGGUUAAUUCCGAUAACGAACGAGACUCUGGCCUAUUAAAUAGACGGUAAAUCUAGAAAAAGUAUACCGCGCUUCUUAGAGGGACAACCGGCGUCUAGCCGCGUGAAAUAGAGCAAUAACAGGUCUGUGAUGCCCUUAGAUGUCCGGGGCUGCACGCGCGCUACACUGAAAGAAUCAGUAUGCGCCGUCGCCUAGCUCGGAAGAACCGGGUAACCCGAGCAAAUUCUUUCGUGCUUGGGAUAGGGAAUUGCAAUUAUUUCCCUUAAACGAGGAAUUCCCAGUAAAUGCGGGUCAUAAGCUCGCGUUGAUUACGUCCCUGCCCUUUGUACACACCGCCCGUCGCUACUACCGAUUGGAUGACUUA
rnacentral:rRNA from 1 species